UAAUACGAAGGGACCUAGCGUAGUUCGGAAUUACUGGGCGUAAAGCGCGCGUAGGCCGUUGAGUUAGUUAAUUGUGAAAUCCCAAAGCUUAACUUUGGAACUGCAAUUAAAACUGCUCGACUAGAGUUUGAUAGAGGAAAGCGGAAUACAUAGUGUAGAGGUGAAAUUCGUAGAUAUUAUGUAGAACACCAGUUGCGAAGGCGGCUUUCUGGAUCAACACUGACGCUGAGGUGCGAAAGUAUGGGUAGCAAAGAGGAUUAGAUACCCUCGUAGUCCAUACCAUAAACGAUGAUUGCUAGAUGUUGGAAAUUUAUUUUCAGUAUCGCAGCUAACGCAUUAAGCAAUCCGCCUGGGGAGUACGACCGCAAGGUUAAAACUCAAAUGAAUUGACGGGGACCCGCACAAGCGGUGGAGCAUGUGGUUUAAUUCGAUGCAACGCGAAAAACCUUACCCACCUUUGACAUGUACGGAAGUUGCCAGAGAUGGCUUCGUGCUCGAAAGAGAACCGUAACAC
rnacentral:rRNA from 1 species